AACGCAAAUUGCACUCUGGGGUAGCCCCCAGAGUACUCUUCUUUCAGUAUCGGUUCCACACAAACUCAGCUGCGUGCAUCGUCAUAUGCAUCUGUUUUGGCUGGAAAAUGAGAUGUCAGAUUUUGUUUAAAAGAUAAAAUCUGUCUCUUUAAGUAUUCUAUUGCUUGUAACGUCUGUAAUGCCGAAAGGAUGUCUCUAUCUUACAAACCCCCUAAGCGGAUGAGUAAGGCUUCCAUUUGGACAACCAAAAACAGCGUCACUGUCCUUUGAUAAACAACCUAAGAACUUUUUUGUUCUGAAGUAAAAACCUCUCAGGACUCGGUGAAAAAUCGCUGGGACCGGCCCCAAAAAAGACUAAGGGGACUGGAGACAUCGGCCGAGUAAAGCACUACAUAAAAACGUUUCGGAGCUUUCUUUAAGAAACCUUAUCUUUUUUUUUUAAAAAAGAUAUGAAUUUGAUCUGAAAUGAAGUGAGACUACCCGCCGAAUUUAA
rnacentral:misc_RNA from 1 species